rnacentral:rRNA from 1 species
CCUACGGGUGGCAGCAGUGGGGAAUAUUGGACAAUGGGGGGAACCCUGAUCCAGCCAUGCCGCGUGUGUGAAGAAGGCCCUCGGGUUGUAAAGCACUUUCAGUGAGGAAGAACGCCUGGUGGUUAAUACCCAUCAGGAAAGACAUCACUCACAGAAGAAGCACCGGCUAACUCCGUGCCAGCAGCCGCGGUAAUACGGAGGGUGCGAGCGUUAAUCGGAAUUACUGGGCGUAAAGCGCGCGUAGGUGGCUUGAUAAGCCGGUUGUGAAAGCCCCGGGCUCAACCUGGGAACGGCAUCCGGAACUGUCAAGCUAGAGUGCAGGAGAGGAAGGUAGAAUUCCCGGUGUAGCGGUGAAAUGCGUAGAGAUCGGGAGGAAUACCAGUGGCGAAGGCGGCCUUCUGGACUGACACUGACACUGAGGUGCGAAAGCGUGGGUAGCAAACAGGAUUAGAUACCCUUGUAGGC